rnacentral:lncRNA from 1 species
UGGGAGUUAUGUCUGAGGGACGACUGCUUCCCCCUAGUGUGGAAGACGCCUGUGUGCAGAGCAGUCAGAUCAUGUGUUCAGAGGAAGUGUGUUUGGGACUAAUGGUAUAUAUAGCCUGUCCUCAGAGGAAAGCCACACUCUGCUCUCAGGUCCCUUCUGGGAACUGUGUGCAGGGCAUUGUGGGAUCUUUUCCCAGCUGUAUUUGCCUGUAGCUUCGGUGAUGCCGCACGGGGACUGCUUGGUCCCCUUCUCCCAGGCAGCCUGUCCCUUCUGUGAUGCAGCAGCCUGCGUUCUGUCUGCUCCAUCCUUGGGCCACACUUGAGUUUGCAAUCACUGGGGACAGCGAGAAGGUCAUCCUCUGUGCCUUUGUGUACCUGACCCCUAAAUGCUGUCGUAUUUCUUUGGAGAGAAGAGAAAUUCUGGUUUCCAUUGCUUUUGAUUGGGGCAUAGAGAGCUAAUUAGGACCGUUUCUGAGUUCUCACCUUGAACUAGAUCAGUGGUUCGCCUGAGCCACACCACCACAUACUCUGAGUUAAAAUUGAACUAUGAGUUAGGCAUGGUGGUGCACGCCUUUAAUCCCAGCCCUGGAGAGGCAGGGUCAUGUGGAUUGCUGAGUUAGAGGUCAGCAUGGCAUACAUAGUGAAUUCUAGGCCAGCCAGGGAUACAUAGUGAAGCCCAUAUCUCAAAAAUACAUACAUACAUACAUACAUACAUACAUACAUACAUACAUACAUACAACAAUUAAAAACAAAAAAACAAACUAUGACUUCGUUGUGAUCGUUUGUCCCAGCAUGAGGCAUGGCCUUAUGCCCUUUGGGGAGCAUGUUUCAUGGGGUUUCUCUAGGGCUACGUGCUACCUGCAGCCUUUCUAGGGCUGUCUUCCAUUCCAACAGGUUCUGCUCCAGACAAGCCCCUAUCAUGUGGACUCCCUGCUGCAGCUCAGUGAUGCCUGCCGCUUUCAAGAGGAUCAAGAGAUGGCUCGAGACCUUAUAGGUUAGCCAGCCCCCUGCACCUGCCGCCGAGCAGCUCCGGCUUACGGGCGAUGUUCCAUGAAGUGACAAAGGAUGUUUCAUAGAGAAAGAGUCCAUAUGCCAUAGGAUUCGCUCGUGUAAAAUGUACCGCUCAUUGUAGUUAGUGUAUGCAGCCAUUCAGCCAUCACCACCAUCUGCGUCAGUCAGUUUUAAAGCAGGCCCUACUGUGCUCUGCGGUUGUGCGUGAAGGGUGGAGUCCAUGCGUCGAGAGGCCCUAGCUUGGCAUCCUUCAUUUGCCACCUUUGUGGUCCCAGCUGUAGCAUGUAUCACACUUCUACCUGUUUGUUGCUAUAUAACUCUAUCUGUGUGUAGACCAAAUCUUGUGUAUCUGUCAUCAGUUGAUGGACGUUUAGGUUGUUUCUCCGGCUGUUGGGAAUGUGUCUGUGCAGGUUUUGUGACGAUGCAUGUUGGCGAACAAGUGGGUAUGUGGUAUUAGCAGAUCACAACACCAGUUGUAUCUCCUGGUAUAGGAAGCUCUCCCUCUGCAGCUUACAGAUGUAUGUUGCGCUAAGCUAGAGUCAUUCAGGAAUGCCUAGGAAGUCUGUGUGCCAUCCCUCAUCAGGGUCCCAGUUACAUGACCUCCUUCCUUCCAGAACUUUCCUUGUUGUGAAUUUUUAUAAUCAUUGUGUCUGUGACACCCCCCUCUGGUGUUUGUGGCCCACAGAGAGAGCCCUGUACAGCAUGGAGUGUGCAUUCCACCCCUUGUUCAGUCUCACCAGUGGAACUUGCAGGCUGGAUUAUCGCAGACCUGAGAAUAGGUGAGUCUGGUCCACCCUAGAGUGAGUAACGGGUACCCUCAAGUCACAUGAGUGACUGUUGUGAUACAAGAUUGUCCUGUCCCUGGGGAUGGAGCAGGGCUCUGAAGGUCCAGGGUACCUUUUAAGCUUUGACGUGUUUCCAGCUGAACUGCAGAGGGCUGGCUCAAAGAACCAGGCAUCAGACUGGCCCCAAAUUAAACCUGUUCAAGUUACAAGUGAGCAUAACAAGCCAUGGAGCAGUGAGACCUGGAGUCAUGCUUCUCAUGGCUUUGGAGGGACCCCCCCCCCCCCAUCCCAGGGAGGUUGAAGUUCUGCAGCGCACUUUGUGGCUGUGUCUCCUGGUUCUGAAAUCUGAGAUGAGCUUAGGUUUAGCUUGACUUCAGAGAUCACACAGGGAGCACUCCCUUCUGGCCUUCUCUGAGCCCGACCACCCUCUGGUUUUAGCUCAUGCGUGCCCUUCCUUCCUUCCUCUGCUUCUCUGUAUAUCCCUGGGCUGCCGUAGCAGGCCAUCCCCCACCUCAGUCUCAUCCACUGUCCACUGGUGCACUGAGUGUUGGGUUUGGAGCUCCUUCUCUGGGCUCCCAAGUACUUAUUGCUGUGUCUCUUCUAGUUAAACUCGCACUUCUUUGAAACAGGUUCUGAGUUACGUUCACCAAGAUAACUAAAGCCACCCAGCUUUAUGCAUCUACGUGUAGUGCUAUGACAACUGUUAAGGUUUGAGCAUGUGUUAAGAUUAUAAUUAUACAGGUUUAAUUGCCUGCCUUUUAAAUGGCAAUCUGUAAACAACUAGCAAGAAGACAGAUUUGCAAGCACAAUGGCACGGGCACAGUCUCAGCCCUGAGAGGUCAGCCUUGGUGACAUAGGAAGUUUGGUGCCAGCCUGGGCUAUGUAAGAUCGCCUCUUAAGAAACCAGG